ACAGCAGCAGCCGCGUAAUACGAAGGUCCCAAGCGUUGUUCGGAAUCACUGGGCGUAAAGGGUGCGUAGGUAGUUUGGUAAGUCAGAUGUGAAAUCCCGGGGCUCAACCCCGGAACUGCAUCCGAUACUGCCAGACUAGAGGACUGGAGAGGUGACUGGAAUUCUCGGUGUAGCAGUGAAAUGCGUGGAGAUCGAGAGGAACGCUCGUGGCGUAAGCGAGUCACUGGACAGUAUCUGACGCUGAGGCACGAAGGCCAGGGUAGCGAAAGGGAUUAGAUACCCCAGUAGUCCCUGUCUCUUAUACA
rnacentral:rRNA from 1 species